rnacentral:rRNA from 1 species
GCCUUCGGGUUGUAAACCGCUUUCAGCAGGGAAGAAGCUUUUGUGACGGUACCUGCAGAAGAAGCGCCGGCUAACUACGUGCCAGCAGCCGCGGUAAUACGUAGGGCGCGAGCGUUAUCCGGAAUUAUUGGGCGUAAAGAGCUCGUAGGCGGCUUGUCGCGUCUGCUGUGAAAGCCCGGGGCUUAACCCCGGGUGUGCAGUGGGUACGGGCAGGCUAGAGUGCAGUAGGGGAGACUGGAAUUCCUGGUGUAGCGGUGAAAUGCGCAGAUAUCAGGAGGAACACCGAUGGCGAAGGCAGGUCUCUGGGCUGUUACUGACGCUGAGGAGCGAAAGCAUGGGGAGCGAACAGGAUUAGAUACCCUGGUAGUCCAUGCCGUAAACGUUGGGCACUAGGUGUGGGGGACAUUCCACGUUUUCCGCGCCGUAGCUAACGCAUUAAGUGCCCCGCCUGGGGAGUACGGCCGCAAGGCUAAAACUCAAUG